GGGAAUAUGGAACAACCAAAACCAACAGAAAGCGACUCUACAGAAGGGCUAUGCCCCCAGCACGCCCUUGUCGUCAUUCCAGUCCCAUCCCAGUGAGGCCUCGCUGGCACCUGCUUGAGCUGCUGCAGAGUCAGCAGUUCCCCAACCCCUUAGCUCUCACCUUACCUUCUUUGUGAGGACAUGGAGACCAAGGAAGAGACAGACUGCUCAGAGAGAAUGCUGCGGGAGGAGAAUUAUCAGCACAUUUUAUUGGCAUAUUCCCACCAGCUAGCAUUAUGACCUGCAGGAUAGAGAAAAAGCAGCAUUUGACACAUCAAGGGUUUGCACUGAAUUCCUGCGGCAGAUGUGCAGCCACCUGCAGGAGGACAUGAGCUGUGCACACCUGGAGAGCCCAGUCAGAACAGUGGGAGCUGAGGUGAUCACCACGUCAGACCUGCCAUCAGCCUGCCUGCCUCUGGCAUGAAAUCCACCCAUCUGCACUGAUCACUGUUUAAUUCAAAGGGUGUUUUUAAAGGAUGUGAUUUUAAUGAGCACACAGCUCAGACCAGGAAUACUGUAUUUCUUUCUCCUGAGUGAUGAAGUGAGCACUUGGACUCUUUGCAUUGAUUUCUAAUCUGCUAUUUCAUACUCUGAGAGUGAGCCCUGGAAACCACAUUCUCUCAGCUGCUCUUUGAGGGUUUCUGUAAGUAAGAGCAGCUGAGGCUGGUCAGGCCAAAAGGGAAGACCCAAAUAUCAGAGUUCCAAAACUCAGCCCACAGCUCUUCAGCCUGCCCAACCAGAGUAAAAAAAAAUAACAAGAACAAUAAUAAUCAUAGUAGUAAUGAGAGAAGAUGUGCAAACUUUGAUGUAAAGGAGCUCAAAGUGGAGCUCUGCUCCUUGAGGUGUAGUUCCACCUUCCCAGGGCAGGCAAAAUGUUUGGAAGACAAGAAGUUAAAAGCACGUGGAUCUAUUAAUCAGAAAGGCAAAGGUACACACUGACCCACCCUCAGAUCCACUCCUGAGCACACCUGGCUUUUGUCUCAUUCUCUGUGUGCACCAGAGCCAUGGCUGGGCAGGAGCCUGUUCUUGGUUCCUAAGAGCCUGACUCGCCGGAAAGCCCGCAACACAGUCACACUGCUUUCCCCAAACAGCACAGAGAUUGCACUCCUUUCCCAUAUAAACCUGGCUCGAGUUUCUGACAAGGAACACCUGUAAUAAAAAUUACAAAAGUCUUCUUUCCAGAUGCAGAGGAGACCUUUAUUAUUUGUUACUAUAAGGCAAAGGCUUAUAGUUUUUUUUCAUUGCAGUCACUUUUGUUUCAGAGGUCACAAAACACACCCUCCUCUCCUUAAACACACAGCACUGGGGAUUUAAUUCCUAUGCAUCCUGAAAAACUGCAUCCCACAGAUGCUGAUGCCUACUGCCUGCAGGUCCUCUGAGCA